GGUAUUUUUAAAGCGUGCCUCACAGAUUUCUUCAUCUUUGCUCAGAGGUUCAGCUCUGAGGAGGAGCAGGGAAGAAUGCAGGUCCAGCAGCUGGUGAUUGUCUGGAGCUUCAAGGUUCUCCUGGCAGGAGCAGAAAAACCAACAAUCACAUAUCCAUUCACUAAAACCUGUGCAGCUGAAGGGUCCACUGUCCUCCUGCCCUGCAGCUUCACUCCAUCAACAGAAGUCAUCGGAGUAGAAGGAAAAGAUCCACGGAAGAUCGUCAGAGUCCUCUGGUGCAGAAAACAUCCCAUCUGUCAAGGAGCCACUCCUUCAGUGUUUGACAGUGAAGCCCCAGACACAGAUUCUAGUUUUCAGUACCUGGGAGACAAGAAGGGAAACUGUACUUUACAGAUCACAAACAUUCAGCUGGAAGAUGCAGAAACGUAUCGCUUCAGGAUGGAAGCUGAAGAUCCUGCUGGACAUUUCACCAACAGAACAGGAGUGACAGUCAGAGUAGAAGAAAAUCCUCUCAUGAGCGUAACAGGAAGUAACGGCUCAGAGGUCAGAGGUCAGACAGUUUCCCUUCAGUGCACCACUUCAUCCUGCACCUUUCAUGGUGUCAGCAUCACCUGGUUGAAAGAUGAUCACGCCCUCCCAGAGACUGGCCCCACCCUUCAUCUGGGCCCCCUGACUGCAAAGGAUUCUGGGAACUACAGCUGUGCUCUGGGGACCAAAAGGCGGUCGGGUCUGUUCAGGCUGCAGGUGGAGGCUGACUCUGCAGGUGGGGGUGUCAAAGCUAUUAAUAUUUUAGGAUUUUUCCUGUUGGAGGAAACCAAAGACAGAUCCAGUAAAGUUUGUUUCAUCGCUUUAAGCUCUGUCAAAGUAAAUUCUGUUUGUCUGCAUCAGAGUCUGCAUCUGUCAACGUUUACUCUUCAUUAUGGAUUUGUGUCGGACAGACUCAGGACUAUUCUAUGGUGCAGUUCAGCGCCUAAUCUAUUGCGCAUCAAAACCGUAAAACCGCUUAUCAAAAUAUAUAAAUUGAGAACUAAAACCCCUAAUUUACAACCAAAAUAUUUAACCCAAAGUGCAAUCAUGUUUCUUAGGUGCCGAUUUGUUUUCUCACUAUUCUGAAAUCGUCUUUUAAGUUGCACUUUUAUAUUUUGCAGUUGCAAUUCUAAAAUCUGUAAUAUCAGCGACACGCCCAUCAAGCUGAGAGGAGGCGGGACAUCCCCGACAUCCAGUAGCUCAUUGGCUACUGAAUGACUCCGAGUCUUACGUCAACAUACCUGCAAGAGAAGGAAAGGUUUUCAUAAGUUUGGUUGCAAAUUCUGGGUUUUGGGUCUCAAUUUAUGGAUUUUGAUUUGCGGAUUUUGGGUUUUGAUUUGCGGUUUUACGGUUUUGAAGUGCAAUUCAUUAGCCGCUGAAUUGACACCAUACCAGAUACAAGGACAUGUUCAGGAAGCUGAAGGACAGAUAAGUUUCCAUCCAUGUGGAUUCCUUUUGCUGAACCAUCAACCAUCAGAUGUUUAUUCCACAGGAGGAACGUCUCACGUGAUCCUCGCUGUGGUGCUCGCCGUCCUGCUGGUUGGCAUCGCUCUCAUUGUGCUCUUCUUCCUCAUUAAAAGGAGGCGAGCAGCUGAAAGACAGAGCGCCGUAGAAAGACAGCGCAGUGUUGGGGUUCUGCCGUCUGGAAAUAGAGGAGCAGCUCAAAGAACCGACCCAAACACGGAGGAUGUCAGCUACGCCGCCAUUCACUUUAAAGCAAGCAACCCCAGCAGAGAGGUGCAGUCGGAUGCAGAUGAUGUGGUCUACUCCGCAGUGGUCAGUCGAGGUUGAUGACAAAUCCUGCAGAGUGUCAGAACAAGAGCACAGGGAGACGCCGCUGGAUGCUCCGCCCCCUGAGAGUUGGUGUCUCUGUGCGUAUAACCUCAAAGCUGCAGCUUCAGCAUCUCAUCUGUGACCUUCAGCAGUUCAUGACCACAAACAAAAGAGUCUCUUCACACCAGAGGAGGCGUCUAAGAAGGUGAAGCUCUGGUCCUCAUCAGUCUUUGAGCUCCUGGAGCAAAAAGGUCACAGAAGCUCCUUUAGUUUGUGCAGACAGUGUGGUUAUUCAGGGAUGUCUGAGGAUGAACUUUCAACAAACAGUUUUUAAAGAUAGUUUGUGGAUUUUUUUGACCAUAAAUAAUUUUCUUUUCUUCAGCUUUUACUCUGUCUCGACUGUCUAUCUAAAAGUUUCUGUAAUUUAUUCUUUUUUUUACAUGCUUUUACUUCUUUAAAACAUAUCUGUGAGUUUGUUGCUGAAUUGGUGUUUUUGUGCAUUUUGACACAAAAUAAUCAAUAAAGACAAUCUGAUUGUU